AGUGAAAGGCCGAGAGGGGGGUGGGUGUCAGAGAUAAACAGAGAAAGAGGCAGAGGCGGAGACUGCCUUUACUGCCGAUAGGUGCAAAUUGGUGUCAACACUCGGGUGACAUUGCGGUGGUUUUCUCCCUCUGCAGGCAGCCUUGAGUGUGCUGUGUGUUUUAGGCCUGAUUAUUAGGCCUAAAUAAAGUUCAGCUGAGCAGGGCCAAACCACAUCAGGUCCCCUCCAAAAUACACUGAAUGACGUUGAAGAUACUAUCUAUUUUGUGAUUGAGUCAGUCAUCAUUCCAUCUGUAUUUUGUUUAUCAAGACAAGCGACCUGAAAACAUUUAAACGGUACUUAGCUAGAUACAGUCAAUCAACAAGUGUCAUAUAGAAACGGUUGACCUACCAGCUCCCGAGCCUGACCAUUUGCUGGCAAAGUUUUUCAAGGUUUUCAAGAAUUCCACAAGGUAAAUCGCGAAGAGUACGAGCCCGAUAUAGCUUCCAGAGGACUAUCCAUCGAUUCCUUACACACCAAAAUGCCAUAUAAUAAACAACUUACUAACGUCGACCGUACAUUUAACGUAACGGAAAGUUAAUGUAUCUUGAAGGGCAGGGAUCGUACAUGCAGACACAACGUACAGGGCAAGGGUAGGCUACACAAAAACGCAAAUUCAUGAGUAAAACUACACCAGGGUAUUUACAUAUAACACACAGAAUCAUGGGAACAACAUUACAUCACGCACACUCACGGAAGCACAAUAACACUCUGGCAUGCUACGAUAUGCCAGGCUACUAAUGAGAUUUCAUACAAGCCUGUAAUUUGAACGUUUUUGAAUGUGAGUCAAGUUGACGUAAUGAUAAAGUAUGGUGUUGAAUAUUCCAAGCCUGCGGUCAAGUGUAUUUUUUACUUUAAUUGGGGUGGGGGCGGGGGCCCAUUGACAUCAUUUUGUCCCAGGCCCAGGCAUCAUGCACACCGGCCCUGCCUAAAGAUGACAACGACACAGCAAAACCAUAAACAGCUGCUCACGAUCUCAAUCAUGCUGCUCUGAUGACAGGUUCGACAUGCCGGGACCUGUAGCAGAACCACACACACACACACAUACACAUUCUUACAAACACGCACACACAAGGGGACUAGCAACGGACGUGAAUCAACACGUUGCUGUAUCGUCUGCUUGUUCACAUGUAAAACACCCUCCUCAGCUAAAUGUUUUUCAACAAC
ensembl:lncRNA